GUACGCAUGGUCUGAUGACGUAGAACACAAGUGCCUUCAUCUGUCAGAAAGUUAGCAGAAGCAGACGAGAAUACUUAAAGUGUUAUGCGACCGUGAUACAUUUUCCCGCAGACAGAUCUGAGAGGGCACGAUGCCGAUCCCACACAUCCACCAUCUGACCCAGGCGGUACCCCUGGCGCUUCUGUUCCUCCUGCUGCUGUUCAUGGCCGCCUUCCUGGUGUACAAGUACAGCAUGUUUUCCGGGAGCAAGGCCAAGUAGACGCUCGCACACGACCUUCUCUCAUGAUGACUUAAAGAACAAAGGACGCUCAGCUUUGAUCUGACGUUUCCCCCCAUUCGGACACGUUCACGAAACACCAGCGACAGUUUUGUUUUGUACACAUAAUUGGUAUACGAACGAUCUGGUUUGUACGGUUUUAUUGGACUGCGAACAAUGAUGAAAUGCAAAGCGAUAGCUAUGAUGUAAUUCAAGGAAUAUAAAAAGAUGCGGAACUGA